rnacentral:rRNA from 1 species
UACGAAGGGGGCUAGCGUUGUUCGGAAUUACUGGGCGUAAAGCGCAUGUAGGCGGUCACUCAAGCCAGAGGUGAAAUCCCGGAGCUCAACUUCGGAAUUGCCUUUGGAACUGUGUGACUGGAGUCUCGGAGAGGAUGGUGGAAUUCCAAGUGUAGAGGUGAAAUUCGUAGAUAUUUGGAGGAACACCGGUGGCGAAGGCGGCCAUCUGGACGAGUACUGACGCUGAGAUGCGAAAGCGUGGGGAGCAAACAGG